rnacentral:tRNA from 1 species
GCCUUCGUGGUGUAGUGGUCAGCACGCUGGGCGCGUAUUCCAGAGGUCCGCGGUUCGAGUCCCGACGAAGGCA